rnacentral:rRNA from 1 species
UACGUAGGUGGCAAGCGUUAUCCGGUUUUACUGGGUGUAAAGGGCGUGUAGGCGGGACUGCAAGUCAGAUGUGAAAACCACGGGCUCAACCUGUGGCCUGCAUUUGAAACUGUAGUUCUUGAGUACUGGAGAGGCAGACGGAAUUCCUAGUGUAGCGGUGAAAUGCGUAGAUAUUAGGAGGAACACCAGUGGCGAAGGCGGUCUGCUGGACAGCAACUGACGCUGAGACGCGAAAGCGUGGGGAGCAAACAGG